GGGAUUGUGGCUCAGUGGUAGAGCACUUGCCUUGCAUGUGUGAGGCCUGGGUUCAAUCCUCAGCACUA
rfam:Ictidomys tridecemlineatus contig023673, whole genome shotgun sequence.